rnacentral:rRNA from 1 species
AUCAUUGAGUUGGGCACUUUAAAGAGACUGCCGGUGGUUAAACCGGAGGAAGGUGGGGAGUGACGUCAAGUCCUCAUGGCCUUUAUGCCCACGGGCUACACACGUGCUACAAUGGGUGGUACAAAGAGCAGCCAGCUCGCGAGGAGUGAGCAAAUCUCAAAAAGCCAUCCUCAGUUCGGAUUGAAGUCUGCAACUCGACUUCAUGAAGUUGGAAUCGCUAGUAAUCGCGGAUCAGCAUGCCCGCGGUCGAAUACGUUCCCGGGCCUU